rnacentral:rRNA from 1 species
UACGUAGGGGGCUAGCGUUGUUCGGAUUUACUGGGCGUAAAGGGCGCGUAGGCGGCGCAACAAGUCACUUGUGAAAUCUCCGGGCUUAACCCGGAGCGGCCAAGUGAUACUGUCGUGCUAGAGUGCGGAAGGGGCUACUGGAAUUCUCGGUGUAGCGGUGAAAUGCGUAGAUAUCGAGAGGAACACCUGCGGCGAAGGCGGGUAGCUGGGCCGACACUGACGCUGAGGCGCGAAAGCCAGGGGAGCGAACGGG